rnacentral:sRNA from 1 species
AUGUCCUGCCAUAUGGUGACAUCUAAGAGUUUUAUAUUGGGUAGCAACCUGCUUUUCCAGAACCUCAUGACCCUUCAACUAAUUCUGCAGCCACUAUCAGCCAAAAAGAGCACUCUGAGUUCCUUUUGGAAGUUAAAGCCCAUUGUCCUAGAAACCUCAGUAUGGAGAUUCAAGGUCUGAGGAACUAUAAGCCAUAUGUAGGAUUACCUUAUUAAACCCUAGAACUCAAAAGUAUCACUGGAUUAAGCCCUUUUCUACCAUUUUAAUCUCACUUUUUCCAGUAUACAAAGGACUGCCUCAAGCCAUAGUACCCCUACAAGUGGUUGGAGACUAGAAUCCCAUCUGUGCUCUGCAGGUGGAAAGCCCAGGCUUGCAGAAGUCAGAAGUAACCAGAACUGUUUAGAGCCAGGUCCAGGAACUUCCUAUGGCCUUUUGGUAGCAACUGUGCAUGGCAGCCCUGUUGGCGUUUUCUCCACAGGCUCCUGAAGGUCAAACCGGAGGAGAGACUCACCAUCGAGGGAGUGCUGGACCACCCCUGGCUCAAUUCCACUGAGGCCCUGGAUAAUGUGCUGCCUUCUGCUCAGCUGAUGAUGGACAAGGCAGUGGUUGCAGGAAUCCAGCAGGCUCACGCGGAACAGUUGGCCAACAUGAGAAUCCAGGAUCUGAAAGUCAGCCUCAAACCCCUGCACUCAGUGAACAACCCCAUUCUGCGGAAGAGGAAGUUACUUGGCACCAAGCCAAAGGACAGUGUCUAUAUCCACGACCAUGAGAAUGGAGCCGAGGAUUCCAAUGUUGCCUUGGAAAAACUCCGAGAUGUGAUUGCUCAGUGUAUUCUCCCCCAGGCUGGUAAAGGAGAGAAUGAAGAUGAGAAACUGAAUGAAGUAAUGCAGGAGGCUUGGAAGUAUAACCGGGAAUGCAAACUCCUAAGAGAUACUCUGCAGAGCUUCAGCUGGA